rnacentral:misc_RNA from 1 species
CUAAGGAAUAUAACGGAAACCCACACAUUCAUCUUAUCUUUGUUUAGUUUUGAGAGGUCUAAUCUUCUCAAUCUUUUUAGUCGAAACACCUUGUUCUUUGAAAACUGGAUAAAGUUAAAAAUCGUAAUUUAAGUAAGAAACCAGAAACACACCGAAAUUUUUAAAUAAUAAGUUUUUUAAGGUUCUCAUCGAAAGAUGAGUAUUAAACAUUAACGAUUAACCAUA